AGAGUUUGAUCAUGGCUCAGGAUGAACGCUGGCGGCGUGCUUAACACAUGCAAGUCGAACGAUGACCCAGAGCUUGCUCUGGUGAUUAGUGGCGAACGGGUGAGUAACACGUGAGUAACCUGCCCCAGACUCUGGGAUAAGCACUGGAAACGGUGUCUAAUACCGGAUACGAGCUUCAGCCGCAUGGCUAGGAGUUGGAAAGAAUUUCGGUCUGGGAUGGACUCGCGGCCUAUCAGCUAGUUGGUGAGGUAAUGGCUCACCAAGGCGACGACGGGUAGCCGGCCUGAGAGGGUGACCGGCCACACUGGGACUGAGACACGGCCCAGACUCCUACGGGAGGCAGCAGUGGGGAAUAUUGCACAAUGGGCGCAAGCCUGAUGCAGCAACGCCGCGUGAGGGACGACGGCCUUCGGGUUGUAAACCUCUUUUAGUAGGGAAGAAGCGAAAGUGACGGUACCUGCAGAAAAAGCACCGGCUAACUACGUGCCAGCAGCCGCGGUAAUACGUAGGGUGCAAGCGUUAUCCGGAAUUAUUGGGCGUAAAGAGCUCGUAGGCGGUUUGUCGCGUCUGCUGUGAAAACUGGAGGCUCAACCUCCAGCCUGCAGUGGGUACGGGCAGACUAGAGUGCGGUAGGGGAGAUUGGAAUUCCUGGUGUAGCGGUGGAAUGCGCGAUAUCAGGAGGAACACCGAUGGCGAAGGCAGAUCUCUGGGCCGUAACUGACGCUGAGGAGCGAAAGCAUGGGGAGCGAACAGGAUUAGAUACCCUAGUAGUCC
rnacentral:rRNA from 1 species